rnacentral:lncRNA from 1 species
UUGAAUCGAGUUUGGACAAAAAUUUAUAUCCAUUUUUCGGGUCGAGCCAAAGCCUAUCAAUCGAGCUUAAAAUUUUGUUAAUGCUUUCUUAAUUUGUAUAUGAACUACUUGUUGAUCGUUAUAAUUGAUCUCCUUAUAAUAAUGAAGUAGAGAUUAAUGUGUUGCUCGGUGUUAUUUUUUCUUUCAUACAAAUUUUAAUGAAAGUAAUUUAGGGUUAAGAGCAAUGAAAUCCGUUUCUCAAAACAAACUAAAGCAAAAACUAAUAAAGAACAAAAACAAAAGCAAUAAAAUAUAUAGUUAAUACUGCCCAUCAAUACAAUGUAAUGCACAAAAGUGCAUUUAAUAAAUAAAAAACAACUACUAAAACUAUAAAUUAAGCAUAGAGGAAAGUAACAUAUUAAACCUAGAUAGAAGCAACACCGAAAUAACUAGCAUGAUGGGCAUAUUAGCAUAAAACCAUGUUUAAUGGCCAUUAUUACGGUGCUCAUUUUUUGCUUCCCUGCUUGGAAAACCACGAUCGCAUAUAUCACAUUUAAAUUUUAUCUCAUCUUUUGACGAAUAUUUUGGUGAUGCAAUACCUCUUUUAAGUUACUAAAAGUGUCUCUACAAAGGUUACAAAAGCCAUUGUAGUCCCUUCUCGAAACAUUUUCAACAGCAUUGGAUGCCAUUAUAAAGAAGAAGAAGUUGAGUUUAAAAGAUAAAAUAGUUUUAAGUUUUU